GAAAUGUGAUAAGUAAUGUGAAUUGCAGAAUUCAGUGAAUCAUCGAAUCUUUGAACGCACCUUGCGCUCCCUGGUAUUCCGGGGAGCAUGCCUGUUUGAGUGUCAUGAACUCUUCAACCCACCAGUUUCUAGUAGACUGCGUUGGUGUUUGGAUUUUGAGCGUUGCUAGUCUGACUAGCUCGUUCGUAAUACAUUAGCAUCUCUAAUUCGAAUUCGGAUUGACUCAGUGUAAUAGACUAUUCGCUGAGGACACCUUUAUUGGUGGCCGUACUAGAACCAGUAGAAGCUUCCAACUAUUGUAGUCAACUUUAAUUUAGACCUCAGAUCAGGCAGGAUUACCCGCUGAACUUAA
rnacentral:misc_RNA from 1 species